AUAAAAUCUUAAAAAAAAAAAACAAUCAUUCAACAACAACAACAAAAUGGCACUUCUUGAGGGGUACUCUUGGUUAGCCCUUGGAGUUAAUUUUCUUUAAGGGUAAUAGCCCUCUCUAUGUUGAAGGUGUGGAUGAAAGAUCUUAUAGAGGGAUUUACUUUGAAAUGCCAACUAUUGAAACUAAAAUCAAAGCAUGCUGUAUUUUUUAACAAAAUUAAUAUCAGUCCUUCACUGGCCUCCUCUUAUUUAAGGGUGUGCUUUCCAGCAAUAGGAGAUAGCUCAGUCUCUCUUGUAGAAGAAAACCUCAUUCUUUUAAAAUUCCAUUCAUUUGAGCCCAUGAUAUGGACCAGUUGUAUUAUAAACCAUCUUGUUAUGCAUGUGUUUACAGGUUUACGUUCCUAACAAGAUUAUGGCUGAAUUAGGUAUGUUGGUAUUUUUUCUCCUUACAACCUAACCAAUGCUGAAUCCUACCUCACUUCAAGGUUCUAGAAACAUCAUCAAUGGUUUUGAUAGGAAACAUUUACAUUUUCUCAAUUUACCAGUUAGAAUUUACUGUUGUCCAGAGGUUUGUUUGUUUUUUUUUAAAUAGUUUUCUAAAGUAAUUUAAAUGUAAAGUAGAAUGAUAUGCAAUCCAUAAUAUAAUGCAGUGGGAGAACAGAGAGUACUGAAGUUUAUUUCCUGGGGAGACUAGUGAGAAAUGACUAGAUUGUAAGUCUUUCAACCAGAAAAUAAAGGAUUUCAGAAUGAUGAGGAAAGUUUGAAGGAAAUGAUAUAGGGUCCACAGAUACCUCACAUGGUACUAAAUGACUCAUAAAAUGCAGUAUUUUUUUACAUAAUAUGGGAAGGGUGCCAGUGCCUGCACAUCUUACACUGAGUGUGGGACAGUACUGGGAUCUCUAACAAUAUACAACAUUUGUGGCAUAAUAGCUAUAAUAAGACUCUUCAACUAUUUUACACAGCAAUAAUCCAGUCCUCUCUCAUCAGGAUAAACUAUGAGGACGAAUCCUUUCAAAAUCAGAAUUAGUUCCUUGGAAAAGAGUGAGGCCACAAUUACCCGUUAAGUAGGAGCAGCUGCAACAUGGGAUCGGCCUGGAGCGUGGUGGUGAAGUGUUUCUCCCAUGCAAUUAAAUGGAUUUUUUUUUAAUGCAAACUAAUAUUCUAUAAAAAGUCACUUGGAAGGAGAGUAGGUGUGGAAUUGCUGAGAUGAAAGGAACAGCCCUUUUGCUUUACCUGAGUUAAUAGUCCUGCUUUCCCAAAUGCUAUUUUGGUGAAAAUGGACAAUCAAGGGUCAUCCUUUCCCAUGAAGUGGGGCCCGAAAGGGACCCAGAGUAAUACAAAGGAAAGAUAAUCCUGGCUUACUUGUACACUCUGUGUCUUAUUUUGAACUGUGUCCCUAGCUGUGUUUUGUUAUUGUUGGUUUUCAAAAAGACAUGACGAGUCCACAGGAGCACUUCAAUUUAAAGCGGGAAGGUCUCACUUGUGUAGAAACAUAUCAAUAUGACCCACAGGACUUAGGCCAGCCAAUACCUCAUCCAGAGUGAGACAAAAAGGCAUGAGAACUUAGUUUUUUACCACAGAGAUGAUUAAAGGAUUGGGAAAAUAAGACCUUUAGGAAAUUUAAAGGACCUGACAGGAGGGGGCAGUCUCGGGGCAGGGGGGCAAUAUAAUAUCUUUGAAUCGUGUGUCUCAGGAGUUCUUUCAGAAACAAGAGAACGCCUUUACUGAAGAAACAACGUAAGAAAUUGGUUGUAAUACUAGAGCCUUGGAGAAUUUAGUCACACGGGACAGCAAGAGACUCUUGAGCUCCCACUCAGGCUGAUGGUUGCUACUGACUCCCCACUCGUCCCAUGAAAUCUUCCAGGGCUGAUUAGCCUCGUGUUUUCUCAACCUCAGACUAUCUCACCUCUCAGUCCCAACCUCUGAACCUUAAAUUAGAGCAAAUACCAAACUGCCUGGCCAAGACCACAGCCUCUCAGUCUCAGCAGAAUCAAGAAGCAAAAUCAGGAAGCAACAUGUCAUCUAAAGUGACAAGAGGCUCUUCAUAGAACAUACUGAUUCUACUCAUGAAUACACUAAUCUAUAAGAAGUUUGAUUGCCCCAAAUCCUUGUCAACACAUGGCAUUGUCAAUCUUUUUAAGAUUCAGAUCAGACAUCAGAUCAUUAUUCUCUUCAGGACAAGCAUUGCAGGCUCUCCAACUGGCACAUUCCAGGCUGGUCAUAACAUCUAUCACACUCUACCUUCCCGGUCAAUUUACCUGUCUGUUUUCUGUAAUAAAUAAUUAGCUCCUUGAGGUCAAAGACAAUAUUUGUUAUGCUUUGUUGGGUUCUUGGCCAACUUUUUCAUGCCCUGAACCCUUUUCCCCCAACAAAACAACUUUUGACAUUGCCCCUCGCUCCAGAUACAGCUCCAUCACCUCCCAACCUAUUGUUAUUAAACUUCUUAAAAUGAUUCCUGAACUCUUCUUCUUCGCCCUCCCAUUUAUUCUUCAACCCACAGCAACCCGGAUUUCUGCUUCUGAAAUAUUUUCUACUGAAACUAUUUUAAGACUCUCAUUGAAUGUAUUCCAGUGUGUUUAACUGGGAACAAUUUGUUUCUCACAUUUCUGGACUUUCUUGGGGGCUUUAUAAAUUGGUUCCUUGUUGGACUGUGAAGUCUUUAAGUGAAGGGAUCCUGUCUUAUAUUUGUUGUUGUAGAUACACACUGGGGAGUAUCUACAUGAGGAGAACAAACAGGUAGAGCAGCAGGACAAGAAACAGAGAGAUAAGAGAAAUCAAGAGAACAUGGAGUCCUAGAUUCCAAGGAGGAAUGUUCCAGGAGGGACUGGUAGACAUUCAUCUGUUUUCUCACUCACGCAGUCAUCCACACAACAAAUACCACUUGAGUGCUCACUCAUUGCCAGACACAGUGCUGGGUUCCAGGUUCACAAAAGCUUUUCUAUACCCUCUCUUGGAUGAUUAUCUCCUUCCAUAGCUCCAACUACAACUUAUUAUUUAAUCCCUGUCAAAUCAAUGUCCCUUUCCUAUUUUCUGACUCCCAGGUGCCUAUUUCCAACCAUCUAUCUGUUAUAUCUGGCUGUAUUUCUUUAGUCACUGGGACUCAUAAUAUAUGUAAAUACAUAACACACAUAAAUCUCAGGUCACCUGGGUGGCUGGGUUGGUUAAGUGUCUGC